GACUCAGUGGCAAAGUGGUUUUGCAUCCGCCUACUUUACAUGAUUUUUUAGGUUCCGCGGAAGACGCUCGUUCGAUUCGGGCCUGGGUCA